AGUGAACGCUAGCGGUAGGCCUAACACAUGCAAGUCGAACGGCAGCACAGUAAGAGCUUGCUCUUACGGGUGGUGAGUGGCGGACGGGUGAGGAAUACAUCGGAAUCUACUUUUUCGUGGGGGAUAACGUAGGGAAACUUACGCUAAUACCGCAUACGACCUACGGGUGAAAGCAGGGGAUCUUCGGACCUUGCGCGAUUGAAUGAGCCGAUGUCGGAUUAGCUAGUUGGCGGGGUAAAGGCCCACCAAGGCGACGAUCCGUAGCUGGUCUGAGAGGAUGAUCAGCCACACUGGAACUGAGACACGGUCCAGACUCCUACGGGAGGCAGCAGUGGGGAAUAUUGGACAAUGGGCGCAAGCCUGAUCCAGCCAUACCGCGUGGGUGAAGAAGGCCUUCGGGUUGUAAAGCCCUUUUGUUGGGAAAGAAAAGCAGCAGGUUAAUACCCCGCUGUUCUGACGGUACCCAAAGAAUAAGCACCGGCUAACUUCGUG
rnacentral:rRNA from 1 species